AUAUAGUGCGCAAGUGCUAAUUGCUAGUCCUUUUUUAGUUGCAUGUCAAUGAAAAUCCAAAUUGAACAGAUCUGGAAUUCCAAUUCAACAUCAUCGCUCCGUCCUCGACUGACUCACCAUAUAUUUGGAAAAUGUUGCGACGUACCAAGCACCCAUCUAAAUCGCCUUACGCUAGACCGGCACAACAUUCAGCUCUUCGGUCACUGCCCACACAGAAUCUGACCCCUGCAAUUCCAACCCUGAUUCAGCUCUGUCCGAUAUCAAGUCAAUCCCAAGAGGAGAACCAGAUGGGCAUAGAGGACACAGCUAUCAUUCAAUCACAAAGGCAUUACUGAUGAACCUGGGGUUCACGUUCCUCAAGCCAUCAAAGAUAAAAUUUGGGCAAAGCAUUAUGUCAAUUUAUCUAAACUUCUGAAUUCACAAUCACACAACAACCAUGAUAUGCUCAAAUUUUCAAUCAUACAAGGUCAAUUAGGUGUCGAUCCCAAGGUCAAACAUAACAAAAUUCCCACGAUUCAUAACUCCAUAGAUGGAUUUUUAAUAUUCGCAAGUAUAUAUUUAGUUAGGCACCCUUCUGACAUCCAGGGCAUCUUAAAAUAUAUUCAUGCCAUUCGCAUAGCACAUGAUUCUAACCGGCUCGAGUACGAUAGGCAGUUCAGGCUAAAACAUCCCUCAAUCUCCUUUGGUUCCAUUGAUGCUGAGUUAUGGCUCAUGUAUAUGCAAUCCUAGGUUUCCUACCAGGUAACCCUUCAAAUCAGUCAAAAACCACAGACACAUUGGCGCAUUCAAAUAUUCAUUGUUUGAUUCAAAAUAUUGAGUGAAUUAUUGAUUCAUUGACCUCAAGUGUUGCGAUUAUCAUUUUAAAGGCUUAUGUUUUAAACCACACAGCAUCGACUUAUCAAAUAGGCAUAAACUCUUUUCAAACUUUAGUACCAUAUAUGAAUUCCAGCUAUGUUGGCCCCACCAGUUGACCAGGGGCCCAUUUUACAAAACAACUUACGACAAAGUCGCAAGUCUUAAAUUCUAUUACACAGUUAUUACUUUGAAUGAAUGAAGUAAAACUUUUCUAAGGCAUAAUUUUCAACAUUUUUGUUUUAAAAAAUUGGAUUUGGAGUGAAUGAUCUUACAAUAAACUGGUAAAUUCCAGUAUGUAAAGUUGGUCGUAAGUCGUAAGUUCUUUUGUAAAACGCGCCCCAGUUUAUCAACUAUGUUGCUUUCUUAAGUGUCACCUAAGUAUCGUUUUCAACGGCUAGGUGCAUUAGUUAAAAAUCUCAGUUAGAGGGCGGUAUUGACAACACAAAACAUUCAUAGUAAGCUAAAUGCUACAGGGAUUCCAUAGGCUCAACCCAGUAAAGCAUGUCCGUUUCCCUAUCACUCUUCGUAUACUGAACCAGUUCAUAUCUAUCCUACCAAUAGUUUGUUCAAGCUCAGACGAAGCCGCCAUGUUUUCCACCGCAUUUCAGUUGGCAUUUUUUGCAUUGUUGCGGGUUGUUGCUAGUCACGCCACUCCUACACUAUUGUACAAUGACGUAUCAAUAGGCGAUGUACAUAUUUCGUUGUUUAUAACUGGCUCAAAACAUCAAUGCAAUAGGGGUUCUACGUUGCACAUUUCACUCAACUCACGAGCAGAUUCAUUGUUCAAGCACAUGCACAAUUUUUUGUCCAUUAGACCAAUCACGUGGCCCAUUUUACUGCCACCUUAAUGCCAAACCGCUCACAAAAUAUCAACUUGCAUCAUUAAUCCAUCGGUCUAGAUCCCCAACACGAAAUUGAGGCUAGAGGCAGAUGGAAAUGCGAAUCAUUUAAUUCCUAUAUCAGAGCCUAAAAUUUAAAUUUUUAAAAUUUUUAAGUAUACCUGCAAUAUUUUGUGUCCUAAUUCAAUACCCAAGUUUGUAGGUUCCCGUACUACUGUCUGGAUCAUUGCCUCUUCCAUUAUUCAUUAUGCUGCCCGCCACGCAGAAAAGCAUUUCGGAAACCCGCAUAUGGAUCUACUACAGCACAAUUUUUUGUGCGGUAAGAGUGGUAUGGUGUGGAAGGAGGUGGAGCCUAUUGUUGCACAAAGGGGCAAGCCUGAUGUUAUAUUAAUUCAUUGGGGGGGGGGGGGGGACAGUAUUGUUACAACACCAUUGGUUAGAUUGCAAAAAUUUCUGAAAUUAACUAUUGCCUAUUUACAAACUUUUCUUCCACAAACUCGGUUCAUAUCGUCCCAGAUUCUCCCCAGGCGUUACUAUACACAUACGUUCUGAAAUAUUGCAGCAGACAACGCACGUAAGAGUAUUAUCAAAUAUUUAGCCCCAUUCGUAACACCCCACAAUGCCGAAUACAUAAAAUACCUAGUUCUUCAACAAUGCUCUUCCAAAUUUCACAGACACGGUAUGCAUUUGUCUGAUAUUGCUCAGGUUAUGUUUUUAAACACCAUCCGGGAUGGAUUGCUCAGCAUUGUCCAACGAAACGCCAGAAUAUUUCCUUAACCAAACUGCUAUUUGAUAAACAGUCUCCCUGUCAUGGCUCGAGCAAAAUUUUGCCCACUCGUGGCGGAUGUCUUUAUGUAUGUUAACAUUUCUUAUAUAUACAUGAAGACAUAUGGCCGAACUUUGCUAAGCCUGCCACAAAUUUUGUUUCAGUCCAGGUCCGUGGCCAAUACUUGGGCUUAUUGACAUUGAAUGAUUGAUUGAUAUUAAUAUUGAUUGAUUGACACAUUGGUGGAUUGGAAUAUUGAUUGAUUGAAAUAUUGUGUGAAUUAUUGAUUGAUUGACACAUUGGUGGGUUGAAAUAUUGAUUAAUUGAUUGAAAAUAUUGAAUGAAUUAUUGAUUGGUAUAUUGAUUGAUUGACACAUUGUUGGAUUGAAAUAUUGAUUGAUUGAAAAUAUUGAGUGAAUUAUUGAUUGAUUGACUCAAACAUGCAUGGACUAUUGAUGAUACAACAUAACUAUCUAAAAGUCGUUGUAGAUCAUGCAUUUCAUUACAGAGUGUAUUUGAUAUACAUACUGGUGGUUUGUAUUGAUAUGAACAUUGUCGUUGAAUUGGAAAUAUGUUUUUAUUAAGUAAAGCCAUAACAAAGACUG